AAAGUACUCCCUCCGUCCAAAAUUAUUGUCUUAGAUUUGUCUAGAUACAGAUGUAUCAAGUCACAUUUUAGUAUUAGAUACAUCCGUAUCUAGACAAAUCUAAGACAAGAAAUUUGGUACAGAGGGAGUAGUUG
rnacentral:pre_miRNA from 1 species